UGGGUGUGACAGAGGUUCCGGGCACUUGCCCCUUUUUAUUUCCUUGUUUCUCUCUUUUUUUUAGGGCACUCAUCUCUUGAGAUAAUAUAGCAAGUGGUAGUAACAAGAUAACUUGAGCAUUUAUUUCACAAAGGAAAAACAAAAAUGUUUUUGGCCAUUCUCUCCCGGAUUAGGAGUAGAAUGUUUUUGGGUGGUUCUGGAGGUGGAAAUGAGUGGAUAUAUGUGGAUGGUACUUCCGGAGUAGAAGCAGCAUGUGUGACUGAACGUGCAAGUGAAUCUUGAUUUUAACCACAUGACAAGCUCCUAAGGGUCUACACAGCUUGACCACACUCAAUGCUCAUAAGCAGUAAAAAGUAAAUGUGUGGCUCAAAGUUUAGCAAGCAUGUAUAUAUGGCUGUGGUAGGAAUUUAAACUCUCAUCAUACAGGAACUCAUCAUGCAAUAUUUUAAAGAUUUUCAAAGAUAAAAUUCUCCAGAAUUCUAGCAUCUCUAGGAACAGAUGAACAACAGCUCAAUCUUCUCAUAUCAUAUCCGUUAACAACUUAGACUUUAGAUCAAGUUUUCUUCCCACAAGUUUAGGUUUAGAGCAAGCUUUAAAUUAUAACAAUUAUGCCUAAACUUGAGAGAACUUCAAAUUUGAAAAAUUAAGCAGAGCAACUAUUCAUCAUAUCCAUGCUAGAGUUUUAUUAUUAAGAUUCAGAUUAGCAUAGCCACUUUUUUAUUUAUUAAACGUACUAAGCAAAAGACAUAUAUAUAUAUAUAAGCACAAAAUCUUUAUUUGGUUUUCCAUAAUUAUGUAUAUUUAUAUUUUUAAUAUAAUAUAAGUAUAAAGAUAGAUAGAUAGAAAUACUUAUCGGGAUAAAUAGGGGUGCUUUCCCCCAAGCUGAAUUUUGACGUAAUUUCCCUUGAUGUAGCUAGCAGAUGGCAGAGGUGUAUUUGAAAGUCGGCAGCAUUCUGACAGCGAUUAGAAUGUCCUCCGUCUGCUAGUCUUCUUGAUUCUUAAAUUCUCUGGAGCUCAAAUAAACAACAAAGCUUUGUGGAACUAAUUAAGUGUUAGCAUAAACAUCUAGCCUUUAUCAUGUUGAAACUUCUUAAUAAAUAUUACUCCCUAUUUUUUAUAUUUUUCAUUUUAUAGAGUAGAAAAGAAAUAUUUAUUUUAUUUUUAUGCCACCACAGUGAAUGUACUUAUGGGUUUUAUGCCACUCGUAUACUCACAUGGGGCUUACUGUUUUUUAACAUUUUUUUAUUUUCUUUUUAGGAUAGUAUGAACAUGAUUAACUAAGUAAACUGUUUAAAUAAUUGAAAGGGAAAAGAUAACUACCAAGUUUACCUCUUGGCAAGGCGUUCGGUGUUUUUAAGUCCUCCGAACGGGACUCUCCAUUUUCUCAAUUGUUCUGGGAUUCGUUAGGUGGCGUAGUCGGUACUUCCGGCGGCGCCACCUCUUCAUGUAUAGUUAUCUUCUCUCUCCACACCUGACUUGGUGCUACGGUCUCCUUUGGAUAAUUCUGUUUAAACUGUAUGUCUUCUGACCUUGUCACUUCGCCUUCAUAGUCUGCCCAUCCAUCCUUGAUGAUCUGCCUCCUCUGGUUGCGGUUGCGUCGUUUUCUGACCUGCUUAGAUUCUUCAAUGAUAUAGUUAGGGUCAGUAAAAUAGCGGCAUACCUUCUCUGAGGGGAAGUGCAUAUGGACUUCUCCAGUACCAAUGUAGAUGAUUGCUUUAACGGUGCUAAGGAACGGUCUUCCAAGGAUGAUGGGUGGAUCGUAUUCGUCUUCUCCCAUGUCAAUAACCUAAAAGUCUAUGUAGACAAAAUGAUCGUCUAUUUUGACAGGGACAUCAGUUACUGUUCGUUUAACCUCUCGAAAUGUCUGAUCUGCCAUCUGGAGCUGAAUGUAUGUUGGUUUGAAGGGCAUGGUUACGAACAAGAGCCGAUAGGUGACUGCAGCCAUUAUGUUGACGCCCGAUCCAGUGUCGCAAGUCGUCUUGUAGAAGUUAUAUCCAUUUAUGGAGCAAUAGAUGCUUGGCAUUCCAGGGUCAUCCUUCUUAGUCAAAAAUGGUGACUUAAGUUGAUGCUCUUGGCCUCCAUGAACUGCAGUGACCAUCUUAGCUGACUCGGUCCACACUUGCUUGUUCCUCCUCCUGUUGGUCCUCUUCCUUGGUUCACGUCUGGAUUGAUCUGGGAUUUGUAUAGUCUUGUUCUUGAAGGAAAAUGCCUCCUUCUUCCCUUUGAUGUAGAAACUGAUCUUGGCAGCACUAGCGUAGAUGACAGCACCCGAGGUGUUCAAGAAUGGCCUCCCUAAGAUGAUGGGUGCCCUCUCAUCAUUACCGGUCUCUAUCACCACGAAGUCUGCUGGGGCAUAUAAGGUACCAACUCGGACACAAAGGUUCUUCAAUAUUCCUUUUGGAAAACUUAAUGCCUGAUCUGCAAACUGCAAACACAUGGUUGUUUCUAAUAAAGGAUAUGUACAGAAUUUUUCAUAGAGUACCCUAGGUAUAAUGUUGACGCUAGAGCCAAAGUCACAUAGUGCUUCUGGGACGUCCACCGUACCGAUGGAGAUCGGGAUGACGGGGCGUCCAGGAUCGCCUCUCUUGACCGGCAGAAGGUUAGUAGUAACUUCAAUGAUGGGGUUACUCCAAUUACCUGCAUCAAACAUGUCUACAAGAUUUGCAGAUUCUAAUCCUUCCGGUUGUGAUAGUAUACCGGGGUUAGUAGUAGGAACAACAGCACCUAUUUGAUUUAAUUCAGAUUCUAUCAUUUAAUUAAAGCUAAUUUGAUUCUUGAUGGCAGUAGAGAAAUUAUCCAUUCUAUUAUUUAUAUUUUCUAGCAUUUUAUCAUUUGAUGCCAAUUUCUUUGAUAGGUUAUCCAUUAGCUUUCCUUGAUUAGACACUAACUCUCUCAGAGGUGGAAAAUUAUUAUUAUUAUGAUUAUUGUAAGAAUUGUUACCUUGAUAAUUACUUGAGUAGUUAGGCCUCUGUUGAUUCCAACCUUGAUUUUGUUGAGGACGGUUGUAGUAGUAGUUGUUGUUAUUGUUGAUAUAGUUCACAUCCUCAAGCAUCUCAGGAUAGUGAUUGCCUGAGUGUCCAGUGUCUCCACACUCCUCGCAAGUCAUGUGAGAGUCGUAGAUGUGCACAACUUCUUUCUUAUCUCCAGCUCUAUCAUCGAGCUUUUUCUUGAGCAGGUCUAGCUUUGCAGACAGCAUGUCUACCUCCUUGAGCUGAUACAUACCUCUACCUCUCUUGCGUGUCUGGGUCCUCUCUUCAUUUCAGCCUUGGUUGGACGCCAUCUUCUCCACAAGAGCUGUGGCUUCUGAUAUGGUAAGUGAUAGGAAUGCUCCUCCAGCUGCAUCAUCCAUGGUUUCUCGAGCACUGUUGCCGAGCCCAUGAUAAAAUGUCUGCAUUAGUAGCCAACUCUCCAUUCCAUAAUGGGGACAUUCUAGGAUGUAGUCUUGGAAGCGCUCCCAUGCUUCUGGAACGGAUUCUUCAUGUUGUUGUUAAAAACUUGUAAUCUUCCCACGGAGAGCAUUGGUCUUGCCCAUGGGAAAGAACUUAGCCAGAAAGUUCGUUGAGCAGAGUGCCCACGUAGUAUUCUUCUCCUUUGUAGCGUAGAACCACUGCUUCGCUCUUCCUAACAGUGAGAAUGGGAAGAGGCGAAGUAGUAUAGCAUCUCUGGAAACGCCUGAUAUGGUAAAUGUGUUGCAAAUGUUGGAGAUGAGCACUAGCAUCUUCGUGUGCCUUCCCACAGAACUGGUUGGAUUGCACCAUGUUGAUAAGUCCAGGCUUGAGCUCAAAGUUGCCGUCGAUCUCUGCAGCAGGUCCAGUGCGGAUGUUGUCCGUAGUGGGAGCUGAGAACUCGCGGAUCGAUUUGUUCACCAUGGCUUCGAACUCUGAAGACAAGUUCCGGUGAUCUUCUUGAUUGGAUGAAGCUUCUUGCUGAAGUGUUGAUGAUCUCUUCUUGAGCUUGGCUCUUGUUUUUCUGAAUAAUGCUUCGGGAUUGUCAACAAAAUUUCCUAGAAGAUGUCUUCUAUUCAUACAUUAUCCUGCAUAAGAUAAAACAGAAAAAUACUGGGGUAAAACUGUAUGAGAGAAUUGAUAAGCUCAAUCAUAUUAGUGAUGCGAAUGAUAACUCCAAAUCCUAUAUUUAUUCCUGAUUAGUAAUCAACCUUCUCCGGCAAUGGCGCCAAAAAUGCUUGUUGGGUAUUCCUAACAUCAUUACCAAAAGUAGACUUAGUUUUCUAAUUCUGAUAACGGUGCCAAAAAUGCCAAAACUAUCUCUCAUACCACUUAAGCCAAGUUGUCAUCCCCAGCAUGACAUGAGAGACGCGGUAUUGAAAUAUGCAAUUGCUCAUCUAAAUAAAUAAUGAAUGGGAUCUGCAAGCGCACAGAUUAAUACCGAUGUAGCAUUUUAACCGGGAAGUAUUCCAGGUAUCGUUAUUUAUAUUUUUACCAUAGGGAAGGGAUUAGUAACCAUCAAUGUUGAUUAUAGAAUGGAAUAUGAGAUUGAGUAUCUAUCAUUGCAUGUAUAAUUGAGAACAUUUAUCUAACUCUUUCAUACAGGGAUAAGUACCACAUAAAAGAUAUAUGAAAUAAUGAAUAGUGACAAAGAUAAUUAAUCUGAUCAGCAUAACUUAGCCACAUAAUAAAUAUGAUAAGCACCUCAAUUAGAUACUCUAGAAAGUCAUUAGCAUGGAAUUAGAACGAACUACAAGAAUAUUUCCUAAGUUAUUCUCAACUAUAUAGUCUAGCAUUAUCAUAGUUAGUGCAAGCAUACUUAGCAAUCAUUGCAAGACAAGACUGCGCCCAUGCAUAGUGAUAUUAGCAAGGUAAAUGAGAAUCAUAGCAAUCACUCCCCUGUAAUAAUGUUGCUCUGCCAGCCCAAUACACGAGAGGGGGACUAUAUAGGAAUCAAUGAAGCUGUCGCUAUCACGAACUACCCCACGAUCUAGCAUAUUGGGUACAAUCGUAGAUAUAUACGGUAUAAGCACCACGCCUACACAAUAUCUAUCAUUUACCCAUGGAUCCGAUGGAUAAACGCUAUACGAUCCUAAGCAUGUAUAUAGAUCCAAUCUAACUAAGCCAAGUAUAUAACUAUGAUAAACUAAGAACAAUAUAAUCUUGAAUAUAAACAAGAAGAGCAAAGUCAUAAGCAAUAUAUGGAAGUAGAACAAAGUCAUAUCCAUAAUAUUGAAGAACAAAGAUAAUUAGAAAAACAAUUAGAAGCACAAUUAGAGAAUUACUAAGAAUCCUCUUGAUAGAUCCGGAAACCAAUCGAAGAUUGACUCCUAGUUCUAAUCCUAUGUAGCUAUGCUAAUCUAGAUAUCUAAUUGAUGUGGUGGCUCUAAUCUUGAUCAGAGGCUUCUUCUCCCUUGAGGAACAAUUAAUUAGGGUUGAGAGGCGCUCUCCUCCAGGGGCCAGGGGGUCUGGUUUUAUAGUCCCUUCAAGUGAAUAUGGGCCGUUGGAUCAAACCGACAUAGAUUGAACGGUUAUCCUUGAUCCUUUAGGUCGGUGGAGAUCUUUCCUGAAAGAGUGUCCUGAUUGGAGUCCAACAGGGGGCGGGCGCCCAUGUCAACUGGGCGGGCGCCCAGUGCCUGGCCCCGUUCGGCCUCCGCUUCCUUCCCGUGGCUUCUGGAGUCUUCUAGAUGUAAGAUAAUUGUGCGGCACGUUGAUAUCUCUAUGUAAUCCCGACGUGUGGGCCUUUCUUCCGUAUUUCCUGAUAACCCCCUGCAGAAAUAGACAAACACCAAAACUCGUGGAAUUCUGUUAGAUAAAACCCUAAGUCUAGAUAUUGAUUUCAUUUGGAUCCUUUUCUUUGUUUAUUUGAUAAUUAAAUUUGAUACUUAAGGACCGUCAACAUCAACAUCCAGCUUAGGGGAGGCACCCCCACGUGUAUCUAGAUAAGUAUUACUUUCCUUUCUUGGUUUUAUUUACUAGUAUUUGGAAAUAAAUAGAAAAAUGCAUAACCAUGAAACCAAACAAAGUUUUUCUUUUGAGUAAUAUACAAUAGUUUUGUGUAAUCCUAAGUUUUAAAUAAAAUAAAAAGAAAGUUUGAACCAAUUCUAGGUAAUUGACAAACAUGAUAUGAGAAGGUCUGAGCUACUAUUUAACUUGUUCCAAGUUUCGCUAGAGUUCUGGAGAUUUUAUCUUUUGAAAAUCUAAAAAUUCAAAAAAAAUGAUGACAUCCGGUUUCACAUAAUACCUAGAGUCUUAUAAGAUAUAAAUAUUAAAACUAUGGGCACUUGCUUUGUUCAAGCCAUUGUUAAUUCUUGUAGUUUUGGUUGAGAGAAUUAUCAUGCUCCAAAGAUCAAGAUCUUUUUGUUUUAAAAAUAUAAAAGAUUCACUCUUCCGAAGUAUUAUUGCGCUAGAGGCAUGGGACUAUGCAAAAAUUUGAUUCGAAAAAAGAGUGAGACGAGAGGUAAAAAUGGACAAGUGUCCAAAGUAGAAUUAGGGGUACAAAGAUACCCACCUGAGUGGAAAAAAUGGACACGUGUCCGACAGUAGAAUUAGGGGUACUUGGUGCCCACUUGAAAAAAGGGGAAAAAAGAGAGAGACUGAAAACAGAAAGAGAUGACAAACUUUUCAAAAAGGUCAAAGGUCUUGAUCUAGGAGUAUGACAUUCCUCUCCCUUGCUUCGAGCAUUGACAUAGCAAAAUGCAAAGUAAGUAUGCUAAAACUUUUAAAGGUCUACUCAUAUAUCUUUUGAGAAGAAGGCAAAUGCCUCAGUUUUAUUUUGGAAACUUACAAAAGGACUCCAGAACAAAGGUAAGACAGAAGAACUUGAGACAUAGUGCUUGACUUGAUCGUUUUGUUUUUCAAUCACUUAAGACCUUAGUGAUAACUUAAAAACCCUAUAGUAAGAGGCAUAAAACUAACCCCUUUUUUCUUACUGAUUUUAGCUUUGCUCAGGGACGAGCAAAGGUUAAGCUUGGGGGAGCUUGUUGACGGUCCUUAAUGCUCACAUUUAACCGUCAACUAAUCAUAAAAAAUGACCUAUAUGCAAUCAACAUCAAAGUUUAGGGUUUCAUCUCACAGAAUUCCAUGAGUUUUGGUGUUUGUCUAUUUCUGCAGGGGGUUAUCAGGAAAUAUGGAGGAAAGGUCCACACGUCGGGCUUACAUAGAGAUAUUCACGUGCACCGCAAUUAUCCGACAUCUACAAGAGUCUAUAAGCCACGGGAACGAGUGGGAGGCUGAGGGGGCCCUAGGGCUGGGCGCCCACCCUCCCCCCUUGGGCGCCCGCCCAAGGCUCUCAGCCAAUCAGGGUCCAUCUCGCGGAUAAUGCUCCACCGACCUAAAGGAUUAUGGAAAACCGUGGGAUUAAGGUCGGUUUGAUCCGACGGCUCAUAUUCAUUUGGAGGGCUAUAUAAGCAGACCCCCACCAGCCUCUGGAGGCAUAUCUCUUCUACGGAAUCAAAGCUAGGGUUUCAAUUAUUCAUCCAAGUAGAGAGGAUCCAUCUAGUUCAUAUAGUUCUAGUUCUAGUUCAUCUAGUUCUAGUUCUAGUUGUAAUCUAGAAAAUAGGGAGAGAGAAGACGAGAGCGGAGGAGGAGCCGGAUCUGUCGGAUCUUCCUCAACAUUGUACUUUUGCAGCAAAUGGUUCGUUCUUCAUCGUUCUCCAAGUUCUUCAAUUCAUAAUUUCUGAGUUCUUUAAUUACUUUUAUUUACAUUCAAGUUAUUUAUUGGAUUCCCGCUUGCAUCAAGUGCUCUAGUCUUUGCAACGCUAGAGUAGUAAUUAAUAGAUUAGACGUGGUGCUUAGUCUUGCAAUUACCUAGAAUUACACCCAAUCCUACGGAUUGUUGUGGUAGCCCUAGGGUAGUGACAGCCCUAACGGUCGACGUAGUUCACCUCGUUUGGAUCGGUGUUUGUAGGACCAUAGUCAGAGCUUCCUAGCCCCAUUCUCAUCUCUUUCAACGGUUAGUGUUCUGAUGUCCCGAAAUAAAUAAUCUGUGAAGUAAUUCUUGAUUCUUAGAUCAACUAGAGAACUCUCAGCAAACUUCCUCUCUUCCCACCAAAAAUAAUUAUAUAGUUAUCCUUGGGCGAUCUUGAAUCUUAAUUAGUACACUCACGUUCUCUGUGGAAAAUUGAUACUCUGGAAUACUCCCGGGUGAAAUCUACAACGGUAUCCGUGCACUUGCGGAUUUUUCUGUUUGCGUUUAAAACACCCAACAAUCCACUUCUAUGCCUUUUCCUGAAACAACAAAGCUAAGAAAUACAACAUGGUCUGUGCAAAAACUGCACUUCUCAAGAUUAGCAAAUAAUUUCUCCUUUCUAAGCUCUUCCAAGACAUACCGAAUAUGAUUCACAUGUUCCUCAAAAGACUUGCUGUAAAUUAGGAUAUAAUUGAAGUAGACAACAACAAAUUUUCCAAUGAAAUCUCUCAAGACAUGGUUCAUUAAUCUCAUGAAAGUACUAGGAGCAUUAGUCAAACCAAAAGACAUAACUAACCAUUCAUACAGCCCAAAUUUUGUUUUAAAUGCAGUUUUCCAUUCAUCCCCUAUUUUCAUUCUUAUCUGAUGGUAUCUACUUCUCAAAUCAAUUUUAGUGAGUAUGGUGGAACUACUUAAUUCAUCAAGCAUGUCAUCUAAACGUGGAAUAGGAUGGCGAUAGCGAACAGUAAUGUUAUUUAUAGCUCUACAAUCAACACACAUCCUCCAAGAACCAUCUUUCUUAGGCACUAAAAUUAUAGGUACAACACAAGGACUUAAACUUUCACGAACAAAACCUUUAUCAAGAAGUUCUUGCACUUGCCUUUGUAUCUCCUUUGUUUCUUCUGGAUUGGUUCGGUGUGGUGGUCGAUUAGGUAAUGCAGCUCCUGGAAUGAGAUCAAUUUGAUGUUCAAUCCCACGAAUUGGAGGUAGUCCCGCCGGUGUUUCUUCUGAAAGACAUCUCCAUAGUCCUGCAAAAGAUGAGACACAACACUAGGAAGAGAGGUCAUGUCGUUAGCUGAAAUUAAAAUGUCUUUGUACACAAGUACAAAGAGCACUUGUUCAGGGUUGUUCCUCACUUCUUGUUGGCAUUUCUUAACGUCAUCACUUAGAACAGGGUUUAAUCCGUCCUCAGCAACGAUGUCAGAAAUGUCGUGAUAACACUUACUAAUGCAAUAACCAAGAUUAGAGUAUAAAUCUAUCUUAAGCAACGGUGCCAGAAAUGCUUGUUAGCAUUUCUUAGUGUCGCUACCUAGAAUUGGGUUCUGCUCUACUCAUGAUAAUGACAUUGGCAGUGUUAUAUUGGCAGAUCCGUAGCAUCACCACCUUGAAUAGGAAGCUAGAUCUACCUUCCCGAUAAUGGCGCCUUAUUACCGUUAGGGUAGGGUUCCAGUUCUUAAUCAUGGUAGUGGCACUAGGAUUGCCAUGUUGGUAUUCCUUAACAAGUCACUAGCUCGGCGCAUGUCUAGCAAUAGUGUUAAGUAUAUACCGGGGUGAUAGUUCCUUAGGUUUGGAGUUUAAGUACCGCAAGCGGACGGGAAUUAUCGUGUAGCAUUUCAACCCUGGGAUUUACCGAGUGUCGUAUUUAUAAGUUCGCUCUAAGGAAGGCUUAAUAUGUUAAGGAUUCUAAGAUAAGCAUAGAUCAAAGUAAUUAUGAUAGAAAAAAUGGAAUCAAAGGUCAUAGCAGGUGAUAAACAUUUAUAUGUAGAAUAGUGAUCCAUCACAAUCUAGGCAUGGCAUAUGGGCUAAGGAAUAAAAAGAGACUAAAAGAAUGAAUUGAAUCAAAGAAUAAACAAACAACCUAUUGGAGCAGGUGUGGUCCUAGAUACAUAUCAUGUCAUAGAACAAGUUAAUCAUGUAAUUAUACUACUUAGAUCUAGUCCUGUGUUUAGAUGGUUUGCAAGGUUACGCGAGUACUGUUCUGCCAGCAACCUCCGCAACUAUUUAGACUCCUACACCCUAGCCGAACGUGGGGGAAUGCCAAGGACGGACAGGGCUGUGACCACCUGCCGCCAUCCCCUCAACCGUGGACUAGGACAAUGCAUUUACCCGGCCUUUACACCCAAGCACCAUGCUUACAUGCAAAGAACCUACUCGGACUCCCCCGGGUCCCCGAACCUACGGAUCAACAGGUAAGAAGCCCGAGCCUACUCAAAAGAGCAUGAUAAACCCCCAUCUUCACACAAAGCUAUUUCUAGGCAAUUAAUUAACAUGUGUUGACGGUCCUUAAUGCUCACAUUUAACCGUCAACUAAUCAUAGAAAAGGAUCCAAAUGCAACCAACACCUAGACUUAGGGUUUUAUCUGACAGAAUUCCACGAGUUUUGGUGUUUGUCUAUUUCUGCAGGUGGUUAUCAGGAAAUAAGGAAGAAAGGCCCACACGUCGGGUUUACAUAGAGAUAUUAACGUGUCGCGCAAUUUUCUAUCAUCUAGAAGACUCCAGAAGCCACGAGAACAAAGCGAAAGCUGAGAGGCCUUAGGGAUAGGGCGCCCGCCCUAGUCCUGAGGGCGCCCGCCCACCUUUUUCCACCAAACAGAGUCCAAUUUGGGGACAACACUCCACCGACCUAAAGGAUCAAGGAAAACCGUGCGAUUAAUGUCGGUUUGAUCCAAUGGCCCAUAUUCACUUGAAGGGACUUUAAAACCAGACCCCCUGGCCCCUGGAGAUUGUUGGGUAUUCUUAACAUCAUUACCAAAAGUAGACUAAGUUCUCUAAAUCUAGUAACGGUGCCAAAAAUGCUAAACCUAUCCCUCACACCACUUAAGCCAAGUUGUCAUCCCCAGCAUGAUAUAAGAGACGCGGUAUUGAAAUAUGCAAUUGCUCUUCUAAAUAAAUAAUGAAUUGGAUCUGCAAGCGCACAGAUUAAUACCGAUGUAGCAUUUUAACCGGGAAGUAUUCCAGGUAUCGUUAUUUAUAUUUUUACCACUGGGAAGGGAUUAGCAAUCAUCACUAAUGAUUACAGAAUAGAAUAUGAGAUUGAGCAUCUGUUGGGUAUUCUUAACAUCAUUACCAAAAGUAGACUAAGUUCUCUAAAUCUAGUAACGGUGCCAAAAAUGCCAAACCUAUCCCUCACACCACUUAAGCCAAGUUGUCAUCCCCAGCAUGAUAUAAGAGACGCGGUAUUGAAAUAUGCAAUUGCUCUUCUAAAUAAAUAAUGAAUUGGAUCUGCAAGCGCACAGAUUAAUACCGAUGUAGCAUUUUAACCGGGAAGUAUUCCAUGUAUCGUUAUUUAUAUUUUUACCACUGGGAAGGGAUUAGCAAUCAUCACUAAUGAUUACAGAAUAGAAUAUGAGAUUGAGCAUCUAUCAUUGCAUGUAUAAUUGAGAACAUUAUAUCUAACUCUUCAUACAGGGAUAAGUGUCACAUAAAAGAUAUAUGAAAUAAUAAUAGUGACAAGGAUAACUAAUCUGAUCUAGCCACAUAAUAAAUAUGAUAAGCACCUCAAUUAGAUACUCUAGAAAGUCAUUACAUUGGUAUUAGAACGAACUACAAGAAUAUUCCCUAAGUUAUUCUCAACUAUAUAGUCUAGCAUAUCAUAGUUAGUGCAAGCAUACUUAGCAAUCAUUGCGAGACAAGACUACGCCCAUGCAUAGUGAUAUUAGCAAGGAAUAUGAGAAACAUAGCAAUCACUCCCCUGUAAUAAUGUUGCUCUGCCAGCCCAAUACACGAGAGGGGAACUAUAUAAGAAUCAAUGAAGCUGUCACUAUCACGAACCACCCCACGAUCUGGCAUAUUGGGUACAAUCACAGAUAAAUACGGUAUAAGCACCACGCCUACACAAUAUCUAUCAUUUACCCAUGGAUCCGAUGGAUAAACGCUAUACGAUCCUAAGCAUGUAUAUAGAUCCAAUCUAACUAAGCCAAGUACAUAACUAUGAUAAACUAAGAACAAUAUAAUCUUGAAUAUAAGCAAGCAGAGCAAAGUCAUAAGCAAUAUAUUGAAGUAGAACAAAGUCAUAUUCAUAAUAUUGAAGAACAAAGAUAAUUAGAAAGCAAUUAGAAGCACAAUUAGAGAAUUACCAAGAAUCCUCUUGACAGAUCCGGAAACCAAUCGAAGAUUGACUCCUUCUAGUUCUAAUCCUAUGUAGCUAUGCUAAUCUAGAUAUCUAAUUGAUGUGGUGGCUCUAAUCUUGAUCAGAGGCUUCUUCUCCCUUGAUGGAACAAUGAAUUAGGGUUGAGAGGCUCCCUCCUCCAGGGGCCAGGGGGUCUGGUUUUAUAGUCCCUUCAAGUGAAUAUGGGCCCUUGGAUCAAACCGACAUUGAUUGUAUGGUUUAGAUUCAUCCUUUAGGUCGGUGGAGAUCUCCCGCAAAGCAGAGUCCUGAUUGGACUCAGGAGGUGGGCGGGCGCCCUGACCAACUGGGCGGCCGCCCAGGGUCUGGCCCCGUUUCGCCUCCGCUUCGGUCUCGUGGCUUCUGGAGUCUUCUAGAUGUAAGAUAAUUGCGCAGCACGUUAAUACCUUUACGUAAUCCUGACAUGUGGGCCUUUCUUCCAUAUUUCCUGAUAACCCCCUGCAGAAAUAGACAAACACCAAAACUCGUGGAAUUCUGUCAGAUAAAACCCUAAGUCUGGAUCUUGAUUUCAUUUGGAUCCUUUUCUUUAUUUAUUUGAUAAUUAAAUUUGAUACUUAAGGACCGUCAACAAACUCCCCCAAGCUUACCUCUUGCUCGUCCCUGAGCAAGGAUAGACUCAGCAAUGGAUCAUAAGUAGUUGCAAUAUCUUUAAAAAUUGACGGUACACAUGCUUUUUAAAUAAGAUCUCAUCUCUGAGUUAGAGUAAACUGUCAAGACUUAAAACUUACUUACUUUACCUUCACCAUGGGACUUGUAACUGUCACUUCCGUCUUGAGUGGUUAAAAGAUAGAACAGUCUAGCCAAGUGCCAUGUCUCUUAUUCUUGAUCAUCUAUAGCUCUGGGGUUUUUGCAGAUUUUCAAAUAAAACUCAGAGAUUCCUUGUAUGAUUCUCUCAGAUCUCUCUUUUGUGGUAUUUUUGGAUCCUUACCAAGGCAUUGAUGGUAUAUGCCUUCUCUCAAGAUAUGUAGUAUUUGUGGUAUAAGGCAUAGUGACAUUGCCUUCUCUCUCACCCUACUCUAAUAAGGCUUUAAUAUCUGGAGCUCAUAGGUGGGAGAUAAAGUAUACAUACUCACAGGACAUUUAUUGCAUAGUCAAACCAUGGAUCCAAAGAAACAAAUCAAUAAGCCAAAUCAAGAUGUGCAUGUGUGGCGAAUGAAUGGUGUAUGGUGAUGAUGGUGAUAACAAUGGUGAAAACAAUGGUGGUGGAAGUCUAAUUCUACUUUGCUCUUUUUAGGGGAUACAUACCUUCCUUGCUUUUGAAACUUUAUGAGGAGAAUGAGAUGCUCUUCUUUUUCUUGUCUCUGAGGUGGGUAUCUUGUACCCCUAAUUCUACUGUCGGACAGUUGUCCAUUUUUACCUCUCGUCUCACUCUUUCUUUUCUUUCGAGGUUCCGAGCACUUGCUCCUUUUUAUUUUCUCGUAUAUUUUUUUUAUUUUCUUCUUUUUUUUAGAGCACUCAUCUCUUGAGAUAAUAUAGCAAGUGGUAGUAACAAGAUAACUUGAGCAUUUAUUUCACAAGGGGAAACAGAAAUAUUUUUGGUUAUUCUCUCCCGGAUUAGGAGUAGAAUAUUUUUAGGUGGUUCUGGAGAUGGAAAUGGAUGGAUAUAUGUGGAUGGUACUUCCGGAGUAGAAGUAGCAUAUAUGAGUGAACGUGCAAGUGAAAUCUUGAUUUAACCACAUGACAAGCUCCUAAGGGUCUACACAGCUUGACCACACUCAAUGCUCAUAAGCAGUAAAUAAUAAAUGUGUGGCUCAAAGUCUAGCAAGCAUGUAUAUAUGGCGGUGGUAGGAAUUUAAGCUCUCAUCAUACAGGAACUCAUCAUGCAACAUUUUAAAGAUUUUCAAAGAUAAAAUUCUCCAGAAUUCUAGCAUCUCUAGGAACAGAUAAACAGCAGCUCAACCUUCCCAUAUCGUAUCCGUUAACAACUUAGACUUCAGAUCAAGUUUUCAUCCCACAAGUUUAGGUCUAGGGCAAGCUUUAAAUUAUAACAGUUAUAUCUAAACUUGAGAGAGAACUUAGAAUGUGCAAAUUAGGUAGAGCAACUAUUCAUCAUAUCCAUGCUUAAGUUUUUGUUUAGAUACAGAUUAGCAUAGCCACUUUAUUUAUUUAUUAAACACACUAAGCAAAAGACAUAUAUAAGCAUAAAAUCUUUAUUUGGUUUUCCCAUAGUUUAUGUGUAUUUUAAUAUUCUAAAAUAAUAUAAGUAUAAAAAUAGAUAGAAAUACUUAUCGAGGUAAAUGGGGGUUUUCCCAUAGUUUAUGUGUAUUUUUAUUUUCUUUUUAGGAUAGUGCGAACAUGAUUAACUAAGUAAACUAGUUGAAAUAAUUAAAAGGGAAAGGAUAACUACUAAGUUUACCUCUUGGCAGGGCGUUCGGUGUUUUUAAGUCCUCCGAACGGGACUCUCCAAUUUCUUAAUCGUCCUGAGGUUCGUUGGGUGGCGAAGUCGUUACUUCUGGCAGCGCCUCCUCUUCUUGUAUAGUUAUCUUCAUUUUCCAUACCUGACUCGAUGCUUCAAUCUCCUCUGGAUAAUUCUGUUUAAACUCCACGUCUUCUGACCUUACAACUUCUCCUUCAUAGUCUGCCCAUCCGUCCUUGAUGAUCUGCCUCCUCUGGUUGCGGUUGCGUCUCUUUCUGACCUGCUUAGAUUCUUCAAUGAUAUAGUUAGGGUCAGUAAAAUAACGGCGUACCUUCUCUGAGGGGAAGUGCAUAUGGACUUCUCCGGUUCCAAUGUAGAUAAUUGCUUUAACGGUGCUGAGGAACGGUCUUCCAAGGAUGAUGGGUGGAUCGUACUCGUCUUCUCCUAUGUCAAUAACUUGAAAGUCUGUGUAGACAAAGUGAUCGUCUAUUUUGACUCGGACAUCGGAUAUUAUUCCUUGAACUUCUCGAAAUGUCUGAUCUGCCAUCUGGAGCUGAAUGUAUGUUGGUCUUAGUGGCAUGGUCCCGAACAAGAGCCGAUAAGUGACUGCGGCCAUUAUGUUGACGCCCGAUCCGGUGUCGCAAAUCGUCUUGUAGAAGUUAUAUCCAUUUACGGAGCAGUAGAUGCUUGGCAUUCCUGGGUCGUCCUUCUUGGUCAAACACGGUGACUUAAGUUGGUGAUCUUGGCCUCCAUGGACUACAGUGACCAUCUUAGCUGACUCGGUCCAUACUUGCUUGUUCCUAUUUCUCCUGUUGGUCCUCUUCCUUGAUUCACGUCUGGAUUGAUCUGGAAUUCGUGUAGUCUUGUUCUUGAAGAAAAAUGUCUCCUUGUAAGGACCUUGAUGUCGCCUAGAGGGGGGUGAAUAGGCGUACCAAAAAAACCUGAAACUCAAAACUCAAGUUGCGGAAGUUAAAUGCCUGUCGGUACCACCGACAGUUUGGGCCGGUACUACUGGUGUAAGACAGCCAGUACUACCGACGCAACUGUUGGUACUACCGACGCCCUAAGAGGGCUACGAAAUCAGAGUAUUUUGAGUUUCUAUUCCAGAUGUGAGAGUUACCCCACUCUCCUAGAUGUAGUAGAGGAUGAUGUUGAAGUUCCCUUGGCUUGGUUCUUCUCCAAAACAUAGAUCGGCCCUUGUUCACCUAUGAACGGGGUAGAUAGGAAGAACACAAAAAACACAAGAACAAGGGUAGUCGAAGCUACCUCCACAGCAAGACAUGAUAUUUAUCCCGUGGUUCAGCUCGCCACCAAGGCUUGCCUAUGUCCACGUUGUUGAGGAAGCCACACAGGCUUUUCGGGUCUCUUUCAACCCUAUCCUCGUUCUCAAGUCAAGAGAGCAAUCCCUUGAGAUGAGGGGUGAUUUCACUAGGUGAUUUGAGUGACUACAAACCUCCCGAGGCUACCACAUGAGUAGGAAGCUCUACGGGCAAUGCCUAGCCGGCUAGGAGCCUUGCUCCAAGAGUAACAAACACAAAUCCAACCGGCUUGACGAAGAAAUCAAGUGCUCAAGCUUUGCUUUGAUGUUUCUCUCACCAAGAAUCCUUCUCUCACUCAAUCCCUUGCAAGAUUUGAAGUUAGGAGCAAAGGGGAUACACGAGAGGGGCUUUUGGGAGCUAGAGAGGUGCCUUGGCUGAAGGUUUGGUCGAGUGGAAGAGUGAGCCAACGGUUAGAAAGAGGGGAAAGCUAUUUAUACAGGUGUUCAGAACAACUGCCGGUACUACCGGGGCAACCACCGGUACCACCGGCUACCUCAGAUCUAACGGUAAGAAGUCUCUAUGAUUUGCGAGAAAUAAGCCUACCGGUACCACCGGGCUUUUGUCGGUACUACCGACCAUUGCCGGUACCACCGGUGGAAGGCCGGUACCACCGGCAGUUCAAAUCUCCGCAACCAAAGUCAGCGCGGAUUUGGCCUGCCGGUACUACCGACGUUUCACACCGGUACUACUGGUGCUGGCCGGUACCACCGGCCCGAGCCCGGUACUACCGGUAGUUCAUUUUCUUGCAAAACUCAGGAGAAAGGGCUGGCAUUGCCGGUACGACCGGCCCUGAGGGUUGGUACUACCGGGUCACCUUGGCAGAGAAGAAAUUUCGUGAGUGCCUAAGAGUGCAAGUGUUAGAGUGUCUCUCUUUUGAUUAGUUUUAAUACUUGAGCACUCUAUCUUCCUCAAACCAACUAAAUUUGCAUCCCUCUUUAUAGUGCGGCAAAUCCUAAACUCAAGGUCAAAAGUAUAUAACCAAUUUAACCACUUGAGUCUUCAAUGUCUUCAUAUGCCACUUCUUCUCAAUAUCACUUCAUCAAGGAUGCAAUUAACUUUGUCUCAUCUUCUUUGAGUAAAUAUAGCUUGAGCAUGUGACUUUAAUCAUUUCAACAUAUGUGAGUUCAAUCCAUGACUUCAAGUCACUUCCAUUAAAGAUUUUGAUCCUCAACACAAUAUGACUCAUCAUAGCUUAAUUAGUACCUCGACUCAAUGCAAGUACUCUCUUCUUCACCUUAGCCAUGGUACCUCGGUCUACAAGCCAUUGCUUGACCUUCACCUUCGCUUAGUCCCUCGAAGCCUUUUCCUUGCUAUCUUCACUCUAUCAAGCCAUACUCAAGUCACAUCAUGUUAAGCAUCCAUUGAAAAAUUGUUUCUUCAAUAUUGUGAUUCUUGCUUGAAUAUCUUCUUGAUAUGAGCGUUAACAUUAAACAAGCUUCAGUUUACACCAACACACAACUUUGGUCUUCAUUUGAACAAUGUGUGAAAUACCAUCAAGUUUGCUUUCUUGUUGACCCUUUGAUACACUUAGCAAACUUGUUAGACCCUUAAUUGUGUUGUCAUUCAAUUCACCAAAACCCACUAAAGGGCUAGAUGCACUUACACUCCUUCUUCCCUUUGACGUAUAAACUGAUCUUGGCAGCUCUGGCGUAGAUGAUAGCUCCUGUGGUGUUCAAAAAUGGCCUUCCUAGGAUGAUAGGUGCUCUCUCAUCAUUUCCGGUCUCUACCACUACGAAGUCUGCUGGGGCAUACAAGGUACCAACUCGGACACAAAGGUUCCUCACUAUUCCUUUUGGAAAAGUUAUCGUCUGAUCUGCAAACUGCAAACACAUGGUUGUCUCUAAUAAAGGAUAUGUAAAGAAUUUCUCAUAGAGUACCCUGGGUAUAAUGUUGACGCUAUAGCCAAAGUCAUAGAGUGCUUCUGGAACAUCCACCAUGCCGAUGGAGAUCGGGAUGACGGGGCGUCCUGGAUCGCCUCUCUUGACCGGCAGACGGUCAGUAGAAAAUUCAGUGACGGGGUUACUCCAAUUACCUGCAUGAAACAUGUCUACAAGAUUUGCAGAUUCUAAUCCUUCCGUUUGUGAUGGUAUACCGGGGUUAGUAGUAGGAACAGCAGCAACUAUUUGAUUUAACUGAGAUUCAAUCAUUUUAUUAAAGCUAAUUUGAUUCUUGAUGGCAGUAGAGAAAUUAUCCAUUCUAUUAUUUAUAUUUUCUAGCAUUUUAUCAUUUGAUGCCAAUUUCUUAGACAGGUUAUCCAUUAGCUUUCCUUGAUUAGACACUAACUCUCUCAAAGGUGGAAAAUUAUUAUUAUUGUUGUAAGAAUUGUUACCUUGAUAAUUACCUGAGUAGUUAGGCCUCUGUUGAUUCCAACCUUGAUUUUGUUGAGGACGGUUGUAGUUGUUGUUGUUGUUGUUGAUGUAGUUCACAUCCUCAAGCAUCUUAGGGCAGUGGUUGCCUGAGUGUCCAGUGUCUCCACACUCCUCACAAGCCAAAAAUGCUUGUUGGGUAUUCUUAACAUCAUUACCAAAAGUAGACUAAGUUCUCUAAAUCUAGUAACGGUGCCAAAAAUGUCAAACCUAUCCCUCACACCACUUAAGCCAAGUUGUCAUCCCCAGCAUGAUAUAAGAGACGCGGUAUUGAAAUAUGCAAUUGCUCUUCUAAAUAAAUAAUGAAUUGGAUCUGCAAGCGCACAGAUUAAUACCGAUGUAGCAUUUUAACCGGGAAGUAUUCCAGGUAUCGUUAUUUAUAUUUUUACCACUGGGAAGGGAUUAGCAAUCAUCACUACUGAUUACAGAAUAGAAUAUGAGAUUGAGCAUCUAUCAUUGCAUGUAUAAUUGAGAACAUUAUAUCUAACUCUUCAUACAGGGAUAAGUGUCACAUAAAGGAUAUAUGAAAUAAUAAUAGUGACAAAGAUAAGUAAUCUGAUCUAGCCACAUAAUAAAUAUGAUAAGCACCUCAAUUAGAUACUCUAGAAAGUCAUUAGCAUGGUAUUAGAACGAACUACAAGAAUAUUCCCUAAGUUAUUCUCAACUAUAUAGUCUAGCAUAUCAUAGUUAGUGCAAGCAUACUUAGCAAUCAUUGCGAGACAAGACUACGCCCAUGCAUAGUGAUAUUAGCAAGGAAUAUGAGAAACAUAGCAAUCACUCCCCUGUAAUAAUGUUGCUCUGCCAGCCCAAUACACGAGAGGGGGACUAUAUAAGAAUCAAUGAAGCUGUCACUAUCACGAACCACCCCACGAUCUGGCAUAUUGGGUACAAUCGCAGAUAAAUACGGUAUAAGCACCACGCCUACACAAUAUCUAUCAUUUACCCAUGGAUCUGAUGGAUAAACGCUAUACGAUCCUAAGCAUGUAUAUAGAUCCAAUCUAACUAAGCCAAGUACAUAACUAUGAUAAACUAAGAACAAUAUAAUCUUGAAUAUAAGCAAGUAGAGCAAGGUCAUAAGCAAUAUAUUGAAGUAGAACAAAGUCAUAUUCAUAAUAUUGAAGAACAAAGAUAAUUAGAAAGCAAUUAGAAGCACAAUUAGAGAAUUACCAAGAAUCCUCUUGACAGAUCCGAAAACCAAUCGAAGAUUGACUCCUUCUAGUUCUAAUCCUAUGUAGCUAUGCUAAUCUAGAUAUCUAAUUGAUGUGGUGGCUCUAAUCUUGAUCAGAGGCUUCUUCUCCCUUGAUGGAACAAUGAAUUAGGGUUGAGAGGCUCUCUCCUCCAGGGGCCAGGGGGUCUGGUUUUAUAGUCCCUUCAAGUGAAUAUGGGCCCUUGGAUCAAACCGACAUAGAUUGUAUGGUUUAGAUUCAUCCUUUAGGUCGGUGGAGACUUCCCGCAAAGCAGAGUCCUGAUUGGACUUGGGAGCAGGGCGGGCGCCCAGUAGGACAGGGCGGGCGCCCUGUCUCUAGCCCUGAUUCGCCUCAGCUUCGGUCUCGUGGCUUCUGGAGUCUUCUAGAUGUAAGAUAAUUGCGCAGCACGUUAAUACCUUUACGUAAUCCUGACAUGUGGGCCUUUCUUCCAUAUUUCCUGAUAACCCCCUGCAGAAAUAGACAAACACCAAAACUCGUGGAAUUCUGUCAGAUAAAACCCUAAGUCUAGAUCUUGAAUUCAUUUGGAUCCUUUUCUUUAUUUAUUUGAUAAUUAAAUUUGAUACUUAAGGACCGUCAACAAACUCCCCCAAGCUUACCUCUUGCUCGUCCCUGAGCAAGGAUAGACUCAGCUAUGGAUCAUAAGUUGUUGCUAUAUUUUAAAAUUUUGACGGUACACAUGCUUUUAAAUAAGAUCUCAUCUCUGAGUUAGAGUAAACUGUCAAGAUUUAAAACUUACUUACUUUACCUACACCAUGGGACUUGUAACUGUCACUUCUGUCUUGAGUGGUUAAAAGAUAGAACAGUCUAGCCAAGUGCCAUGUCUCUUAUUCUUGAUCAGCUAUAACUCUGGGGUUUUUUGCAGAUUUUCAAAUAAAACUCAAAGAUUCCUUGUAUGAUUCUCUCAGGUCUCUCUUUUGUGGUAUUUUUGGAUCCUUACCAAGGCAUUGAUGGUAUAUGCCUUCUCUCAAGAUAUGUAGUAUUUGUGGUAUAAGGCAUAGUGACAUUGCCUUCUCUCUCACCCUACUCUAAUAAGGCUUUAAUAUCUGGAGCUCAUAGGUGGGAGAUAAAGUGUACAUACUUACAAGACAUUUAUUGCAUAGUCAAACCAUGGAUCCAAAGUAACAAGUCAUUAAGCCAAAUCAAGAUGUGCAUGUGUGGCGAAUGAAUGGUGUAUGGUGAUGAUGGUGAUAACAAUGGUGAAAACAAUGGUGGUGGAUGUCUAAUUCUACUUUGCUCUUUGAGGGGAUACAUACCUUCCUUGCUUUUGAAACUUUAUGAGGAGAAUGAGAUGCUCUUCUUUUUCUUGUCUCUCAGGUGGGUAUCUUGCACCCCUAAUUCUACUGUCGGACACUUGUCCAUUUUUACCUCUCGUCUCACUCUUUCUUUUCUUUCGAGGUUCCGAGCACUUGCUCCUUUUUAUUUCCUCGUAUAUUUUUUUUAUUUUCUUCUUUUUUCUAGAGCACUCAUCUCUUGAGAUAAUAUAGCAAGUGGUAGUAACAAGAUAACUUGAGCAUUUAUUUCACAAGGGGAAACAGAAAUAUUUUUGGUUAUUCUCUCCCGGAUUAGGAGCAGAAUAUUUUUGGGUGAUUCUGGAGAUGGAAAUGGUUGGAUAUAUGUGGAUGGUACUUCCGGAGUAGAAGUAGCAUAUAUGAGUGAACGUGCAAGUGAAAUCUUGAUUUAACCACAUGACAAGCUCCUAAGGGUCUACACAGCUUGACCACACUCAAUGCUCAUAAGCAGUAAAUAAUAAAUGUGUGGCUCAAAGUCUAGCAAGCAUGUAUAUAUGGCUGUGGUAGGAAUUUAAGCUCUCAUCAUACAGGAACUCAUCAUGCAACAUUUUAAAGAUUUUCAAAGAUAAAAUUCUCCAGAAUUCUAGCAUCUCUAGGAACAGAUAAACAGCAGCUCAACCUUCCCAUAUCGUAUCCGUUAACAACUUAGACUUUAGAUCAAGUUUUCAUCCCACAAGUUUAGGUCUAGGGCAAGCUUUAAAUUAUAACAGUUAUAUCUAGACUUGAGAGAGAACUUAGAAUGUGCAAAUUAGGCAGAGCAACUAUUCAUCAUAUCCAUGCUUAAGUUUUUGUUUAGAUACAGAUUAGCAUAGCCACUUUAUUUAUUUAUUAAACACACUAAGCAAAAGACAUAUAUAAGCAUAAAAUCUUUAUUUGGUUUUCCCAUAGUUUAUGUGUAUUUUAAUAUUCUAAAAUAAUAUAAGUAUAAAAAUAGAUAGAAAUACUUAUCAAGGUAAAUGGGGGUGCUCUCCCCCAAGCUGAAUUUUGACGUAAUUUCUCUUAAUGUAGCUAGCAGGUGGCAGAGGUGUAUUUGAAAGUCAGCAGUAUUCUGACAGCGAUUAGAAUGUCCUCCGUCUGCCAGUCUUCUUGAUUCUUAAAUUCUGUGGAGCUCAAAUAGACAACAAAGCUUGUGGAACUGAUUAAGUGUUAGCAUAAAUAUCUAGCCUUUAUUAUCUUGAGACUCCUCAAUAAAUAUUACUCCCUGUUUUUAUAUUUUUUUAUUUUAUAAAGCAGAAAUGAAAUUUUUAUUUUAUUUUUAUGCCACCACAGUGAAUGUAUUUAUGGGUUUUAUGCCACUCGUAUACUCACAUGGGGCUUACUGUUUUUUCACAUUUUUAUUUUCUUUUUAGGAUAGUGCGAACAUGAUUAACUAAGUAAACUAGUUGAAAUAAUUAAAAGGGAAAGGAUAACUACUAAGUUUACCUCUUGGCAGGGCGUUCGGUGUUUUUAAGUCCUCCGAACGGGACUCUCCAAUUUCUUAAUCGUCCUGAGGUUCGUUGGGUGGCGAAGUCGGUACUUCUGGCAGCGCCUCCUCUUCUUGUAUAGUUAUCUUCAUUUUCCAUACCUGACUCGGUGCUUCAAUCUCCUCUGGACAAUUCUGUUUAAACUCCACGUCUUCUGACCUUACAACUUCUCCUUCAUAGUCUGCCCAUCCGUCCUUGAUGAUCUGCCUCCUCUGGUUGCGGUUGCGUCUCUUUCUGACCUGCUUAGAUUCUUCAAUGAUAUAGUUAGGGUCAGUAAAAUAACGGCGUACCUUCUCUGAGGGGAAGUGCAUAUGGACUUCUCCGGUUCCAAUGUAGAUAAUUGCUUUAACGGUGCUGAGGAACGGUCUUCCAAGGAUGAUGGGUGGAUCGUACUCGUCUUCUCCCAUGUCAAUAACUUGAAAGUCUGUGUAGACAAAGUGAUCGUCUAUUUUGACUGAGACAUCAGAUAUUAUUCCUUGAACUUCUCGAAAUGUCUGAUCUGCCAUCUGGAGCUGAAUGUAUGUUGGUCUUAGUGGCAUGGUCCCGAACAAGAGCUGAUAAGUGACUGCGGCCAUUAUGUUAACGCCCGAUCCGGUGUCGCAAAUCGUCUUGUAGAAGUUAUAUCCAUUUAUGGAGCAGUAGAUGCUUGGCAUUCCUGGGUCGUCCUUCUUGGUCAAAAACGGUGACUUAAGUUGGUGAUCUUGGCCUCCAUGGACUACAGUGACCAUCUUAGCUGAAUCGGUCCACACUUGCUUGUUCCUGUUCCUCCUGUUGGUCCUCUUCCCUGAUUCACGUCUGGAUUGAUCUGGAAUUUGUGUAGUAUUGUUCUUGAAGAAAAAUGUCUCCUUCUUUCCUUUGAUGUAGAAACUGAUCUUGGCAGCACUAGCAUAGAUGAUAGCUCCCGUGGUGUUCAAAAAUGGCCUUCCUAGGAUGAUAGGUGCUCUCUCAUCAUUUCUGGUCUCAACCACUACGAAGUCUGCUGGGGCAUAUAAAGUACCAACUCGGACACAAAGGUUCCUCACUAUUCCUUUUGGAAAAGUUAUCGUCUGAUCUGCAAACUGCAAACACAUGGUUGUUUCUAACAAAGGAUAUGUAAAGAAUUUCUCAUAGAGUACCCUGGGUAUAAUGUUGACGCUAGAGCCAAAGUCACAGAGUGCUUCUGGAACGUCCACCAUGCCGAUGGAGAUCGGGAUGACGGGGCGUCCUGGAUCGCCUCUCUUGACCGGUAGACGGUCAGUAGAAAAUUCAGUGACGGGGUUACUCCAAUUACCUGCAUCAAACAUGUCUACAAGAUUUGCAGAUUCUAAUCCUUCCGGUUGUGAUGGUAUACUGGGGUUAGUAGUAGGAACAGCAGCAGCUAUUUGAUUUAACUGAGAUUCAAUCAUUUUAUUAAAGCUAAUUUGAUUCUUGAUGGCAGUAGAGAAAUUAUCCAUUCUAUUAUUUAUAUUUUCUAGCAUUUUAUCAUUAGACACCAAUUUCUUAGAUAGAUUAUCCAUUAGCUUUCCUUGAUUAGACACUAACUCUCUCAAAGGUGGAAAAUUAUUAUUAUUGUUGUAAGAAUUGUUACCUUGAUAAUUACCUGAGUAGUUAGGCCUCUGUUGAUUCCAACCUUGAUUUUGUUGAGGACGGUUGUAGUAGUAGUUGUUGUUGUUGUUGAUGUAGUUCACAUCCUCAAGCAUCUCAGGGCAGUGGUUGCCUGAGUGUCCAGUGUCUCCACACUCCUCACAAGUCAUGUGAGAGUCGUAGAUGUGCAUAACUUCUUUCUUGUCUCUAGCUCUAUCGUCGAGCUUCUUCAUGAGCAGGUCUAGCUUUGCAGACAGCAUGCCUACCUCCUUGAGCUGAUGUAUACCUCCACCUCUCUUGCGUGUCUGGGUCCUCUCUUCAUUCCAGCUUUGGUUGGACGCCAUCUUCUCCACAAGAGCUGUGGCUUGUGGUAUAGUAAGUGAUAAGAAUGCUCCUCCAGCUGCAGCAUCCAUGGUCUCUCGGGCACUGUUGCUGAGGCCAUGAUAGAAUGUCUGCAUCAGUAGCCAACUCUCCAUUCCAUGAUGGGGACAUUCUAGGAUGUAGUCUUGAAAGCGCUCCCAUGCUUCUGGAACAGAUUCAUCAUUUUAUUGCUGAAAACUUGUAAUCUUCCCACGGAGAGCAUUGGUCUUGCCCAUGGGAAAGAACUUAGCCAGGAAGUUUGUUGAGCAGAGUGCCCACGUAGUAUUCUUCUCCUUUGUAGCGUAGAACCACUGCUUCGCUCUUCCUAACAGUGAGAAUGGGAAGAGGCGAAGUAGUAUAGCGUCUUUGGAAACUCCUGCUAUGGUGAAUGUGUUGCAAAUCUCCAGGAAGUGUUGUAAAUGAGCACUAGCGUCUUCGUGUGCCUUCCCACAGAACUAGUUGGAUUGCACCAUGUUGAUAAGUCCAGGCUUGAGCUCAAAGUUGCCAUCGAUCUCUGCAGCAGGUCCAGUGCGGAUGUUGUCCGUAGUGGGAGCUGAGAACUCGCGGAUUGAUUUGUUCGCCAUUGCUUCGAACUCUGAAGACAAGUUCCGGUGAUCUUCUUGAUUGGAUGAAGCUUCUUCGUGAAGUGUUGAUGAUUUCUUUAGCUUGGCUCUCGUCUUCUUGAAUAAUGCUUCAGGAUUGUCAACAAAAUUUCCUGGAAGAUGUCUUCUAUUCAUACAUUCCCCUGCAUAAGAUAAAAUAGAAAAAUAUCGGGGUAAAACUGUAUGAGAGAAUAGAUAAGCUCAAUCAUAUUAGUGAUGCGAAUGAUAACUCAAAAUCUUUUUAUUCCAUUCCUGAUUAGUAAUAAACCUUCCCCGGCAACGGCGCCAAAAAUGCUUGUUGGGUAUUCUUAACAUCAUUACCAAAAGUAGACUAAGUUCUCUAAAUCUAGUAACGGUGCCAAAAAUGCCAAACCUAUCCCUCACACCACUUAAGCCAAGUUGUCAUCCCCAGCAUGAUAUAAGAGACGCGGUAUUGAAAUAUGCAAUUGCUCUUCUAAAUAAAUAAUGAAUUGGAUCUGCAAGCGCACAGAUUAAUACCGAUGUAGCAUUUUAACCGGGAAGUAUUCCAGGUAACGUUAUUUAUAUUUUUACCACUGGGAAGGGAUUAGCAAUCAUCACUAUUGAUUACAGAAUAGAAUAUGAGAUUGAGCAUCUAUCAUUGCAUGUAUAAUUGAGAACAUUAUAUCUAACUCUUCAUACAGGGAUAAGUGUCACAUAAAGGAUAUAUGAAAUAAUAAUAGUGACAAAGAUAAUUAAUCUGAUCUAGCCACAUAAUAAAUAUGAUAAGCACCUCAAUUAGAUACUCUAGAAAGUCAUUAGCAUGGUAUUAGAACGAACUACAAGAAUAUUCCCUAAGUUAUUCUCAACUAUAUAGUCUAGCAUAUCAUAGUUAGUGCAAGCAUACUUAGCAAUCAUUGCGAGACAAGACUACGCCCAAGCAUAGUGAUAUUAGCAAGGAAUAUGAGAAACAUAGCAAUCACUCCCCUGUAAUAAUGUUGCUCUGCCAGCCCAAUACACGAGAGGGGGACUAUAUAAGAAUCAAUGAAGCUGUCACUAUCACGAACCACCUCACGAUCUGGCAUAUUGGGUACAAUCGCAGAUAAAUACGGUAUAAGCACCACGCCUACACAAUAUCUAUCAUUUACCCAUGGAUCCGAUGGAUAAACGCUAUACGAUCCUAAGCAUGUAUAUAGAUCUAAUCUAACUAAGCCAAGUACAUAACUAUGAUAAACUAAGAACAAUAUAAUCUUGAAUAUAAGCAAGUAGAGCAAAGUCAUAAGCAAUAUAUUGAAGUAGAACAAAGUCAUGUUCAUAAUAUUGAAGAACAAAGAUAAUUAGAAAGCAAUUAGAAGGACAAUUAGAGAAUUACCAAGAAUCCUCUUGACAGAUCCGGAAACCAAUCGAAGAUUGACUCCUUCUAGUUCUAAUCCUAUGUAGCUAUGCUAAUCUAGAUAUCUAAUUGAUGUGGUGGCUCUAAUCUUGAUCAGAGGCUUCUUCUCCCUUGAUGGAACAAUGAAUUAGGGUUGAGAGGCUCUCUCCUCCAGGGGCCAGGGGGUUUGGUUUUAUAGUCCCUUCAAGUGAAUAUGGGCCCUUGGAUCAAACCGACAUAGAUUGUAUGGUUUAGAUUCAUCCUUUAGGUCGGUGGAGACUUCCCGCAAAGCAGAGUCCUGAUUGGACUUGGGAGCAGGGCGGGCGCCCAGUAGGACAGGGCGGGCGCCCUGUCUCUGGCCCCGAUUCGCCUCAGCUUCGGUCUCGUGGCUUCUGGAGUCUUCUAGAUGUAAGAUAAUUGCGCAGCACGUUAAUACCUUUACGUAAUCCUGACAUGUGGGCCUUUCUUCCAUAUUUCCUGAUAACCCCCUGCAGAAAUAGACAAACACCAAAACUCAUGGAAUUCUGUCUGAUAAAACCCUAAGUCUAGAUCUUGAAUUCAUUUGGAUCCUUUUCUUUAUUUAUUUGAUAAUUAAAUUUGAUACUUAAGGACCGUCAACAGAGAUCAUACCUCUUCUACAGAAUCAAAGUUAGGGUUUCAAUUCUUCAUCCAAGUAGAGAGGAUCCCUCUAGUUCUUCUAGUUCUACCUCUAGUUCAUCAAGAUCUAGUUCUAGUUCAUCUAGUUCUAGUUCUAGUUCCUCUAGUUCUAGUUCUAGUUAGUUUUAGUUGUAAUAUAGAAAAUAGGGAGAGAGAAGAGGAGAGCGGAGGAGGAGCCGGAUCUGUCGGAUCUUCCUCAACAUUAUACUUUUGCAGCAUCUGGUUCGUUCUUCAUCGUUCUCCAGGUUCUUCAAUUCAUAAUCCUGAGUUCUCUAAUUACUUUUAUUUACAUUCAAGUUAUUUAUUAGAUUCCCGCUUGCAAUAAGUGCUCUAGUCUUUAUAACGCUAGAGUAGUAAUUAAUAGAUUAGACGUGGUGUUUAGUCUUGCAAUUACCUGGAAUUGCACCCAAUCUUGCGGAUUGUUGUGGUAGCCUUAGGGUAGUGACGGCCCUAACGGUCGACGUAUUCCACCUCGUUCGGAUCGGUGUUUGUAGGACCGUAGUCGGAGCUUCCUAGCCCCCUUCUCAUCUCUUUUUGUGGUUAGUGUUCUUAUGUCCCGAAAUAGAUAAUCUUGAGGUAAUUCUUGAUUCUUAGAUCAACUAGAGAACUCUUAGGAAACUUCCUCUCUUCCCACCAAAAAAAACAAUUAUAUAUUUAUCCUUAGGCGAUCUUGGAUCUUAAUUAGUACACUCACGUUCUCUGUGGAAAAUCGAUACUCUGGAAUACUCCCGGGUGAAGGCUACAUCGGUAUCCGUGCACUUGCGGAUUUUUCUGUUUGCGUUUAACAUACCCAACAACAUGAAGCAAUUAGACUAAAGUCCUAAGUGAGAAUAAUACAACAUACACUACACUUAGCACUAGUUCAUAUAAUACACUACUAGCCCUAGGGUAGCAUUAUACGAUAAGAACUAUAUACUAAAAUGUAUGUCAUAUUAUUUUCACUAGAACUAUAUUCUAGUUCAUAUGCUAGCAUCAUAAAACAUGGCCUAUGAUCUAUAUCAUAUACCAUAGCAUAAGAACUAUACUCUAGUUCAUAUGAAGAACAAUAUCGCACAUGAUAAGGCAUGGACUUGGAGUAAAGAUAUUCUUUAUUCAUACCCAAGUUUCUCUCCAAGGAGCCAAGCCCUCCUUGAUAGCUCACCCAACUCUCUCUCUAAAAGCUAAAAGGAAAAACUAAGAAGAGGUAGUGCCCAAGUGCCUUGAAGGUGGAGUGUUGAUUGUGAAUGUGAUGAGAUGAAUGGAGCCUCCCUCUCCCCCUCCUUAAAUAGGUGGGGAAGGUCAGUUCCCCAGGGUGUAAACUGCAAUUUGGACGCGGGGACUACUGGAGGAUAGGCUCAGCACCGCCUCUGCGAAAGGCGGUGCCGAGAUGGGCUGGGUCAGGGUCGGCCGACCCUAGGGGGCAGCCGCCCUCUGGUGGGCCCCGCUGGCCCCGGCCCGAAGCCCGUUGCCUUCCUCUCGGGCCCCUGAGUCCAGAUCCACCUGCAAAUUGAUGCACUUCUAUAUUGGGCUUUUGGGUACUUGUUUAUUUGCGCAUUUUUUGACGUGUCGGAUUGCGCCUUUUUAUUUUCUUUCUACCUGUAUGUCUGUAUAUGAUCUGCAAAACACAACUUGCACUACAUGUGGAACUUGGUAAGCAUUUAAUAAGUAUAUGUGAGUAAAAUACAUGCUUUUCUUCCUUUGCAUAGACUAUGUUGGCGGGUUAAAUAUGUCAUUAAGAACCGCCAACAAACUCCCCCAAGCUUACCCCUUGCUCGACCUCGAGCAAGAAGCUAAGAUCUUUGUUGUUGAUGAGGAGUUGCUACAAUAUUUUCACUUCUAUCCAGUACAUACCUUCAAACAAGAAUUCUCCUUCGAAUUUUGAACAGAUAUGUCAUGGGGCUUAUUGCUCAUACCUUGGGUCCUUAAGCAUUUGCAGGAUGGAUUUGAUCAGAUCGAGCGCUAUGUCCCUAGUUCUUUACUUCACUUUUGUUCUGGAGUUUUUGAUUUUCAAAACAUAGCACAUUUAUUUGUCAAAUGAAACAAUGGAUCCAAAGAGAAAGUUAAUCAUACCAUUGAAUUUUUGAAAACUUUUUCUUUUCCAUCAUUCUCUUUUUGUCUAUUAGAGACACAUGGCUAUGUUAAUUCUACUGUUGGGCACUUGCCCAUUUUUUUUUUAUUUUUUUCGAGGUUCCGCACACAUGUCCCUUUUUAUUUCCUCGUGAUCUUUCUUUUUGAGGUUUCAGACACAUGUCCCUUUUUAUUUCCUCGGAUGCUUUUCUUUUCUUUUUCAUAGCCAUAUGUCUUCUAACAAACCUUUGAGAUGAUAACAUAAUGAAAUAUUUUUGUUUUCAAUGGUAUGACAACCUCUCAAAGGGUCAACAAAGCUUAAUCUAACUCAAUGUGAUUAUUUUAUUUUUGUAAAAACUCUAGAACUCUAGCGUUGUUUAGAACAGGAUACUAGCAGCUCAUAUCAUCACAAAUAUAUCCAUUAAUUGCUUUAGACUUUAGAUAGAGCAUUUUGCAACCCACGCAUUUAAUCAUUUUAUUAAUUUGGAGAAUUCAAGGUUGAAACUAGAUACUGGAAAGAAAUUACGAUAGAGCAACUAUUCAUCAUUUCAACAAGGAAGAAGCAUAUAUCUUACAUCACAUAUAAGAGUGGAAUUAUAUUUUUGUCUUUUUAGCAUUUUUCAUCAUUUAUUUUAUAUGGAAUAAUUAAAACAUGAAUUUAACUAAUGGAAAUUUCAUAAAGUAAACAUGCUAAUUUAAAAUUAAGGAUGCAUGAAAAUAAAUAUGUAAUGCAGAUAACCUCGGGAUUGGGGGUCCUCCCCCAAGCUAGCUUCUGGCCUACUGAUCGGGGUUGUACCCCAUGUACCGCCAGAAGUCUUGGGACUGUUUCAGCAGCUGAUCUUGGCGAGCUUGCAUUUCUUCUUGCUGCUGCUGGUGCCAGGCCUGUUGUUGCUGUUGCCAUAGCAACCCUUGCUGGUGCCACUCCACGGCCUGCUGGUGGUGCGCAUCGGUGGUUUGGAUGUGUUGUUGGAGACUAUCCUGGAUCUCAUCCGUGCGCACCACCAGUCCCCCAAGCUGAGCUUGGAGGCGCUCCAAGUCGGUUCGGCCUACUGUGGAGGCCGAAGGAUGUUCUUGUGGUGAUUCGGCCCUCCAGCACGAUUGUUGUUCCCAAGCGCUGGAAUCCGCCUCAGCCCACCCCUCAACACCUUAUGUCGGCAUGGGUGUGUCCCACCCCGACUGGUAGAUCGGCUGUGUAUAGGAGGGUGGUGGCUGGGAGCUAGAUCCGCCGAUGUCCCUACCAGAAACACUACGCCUUCAUGCAGUUUCAGCUGUCUGCAGAUCAAAGGUUAGUCUCCCAGAGUUAUACAAGCGUAGACCCGGGUUAGGUAACCGGAUUACGUUUGUAUACCCUAGGACAUAAAACACAAGACCGCCCGCAUUAUCUCUUUUCAAAUGGUGACCUUGGAUAAGAUAGGUUUCAUUAAUCAUGGUGCGUGGAAUUUGAAUAUAAUCAAGAUCUUGCCCUUCCAACGCACCAAUGGCCAUGGCCACACGUGUUAUGAGUGAAGUCAUUGGGGUGGUUGUCUUGAUUAUAUCUAACCAAUGCCUUACAAUUUCUUGCACAGGCGCAACUUUUAUUUUCAUUCUAGCCGCGUAAAGUAACCUCAUUUCAUUUACUCGCACAACGCGGGUAUCCUGGCUAGGAAACAUUGUUAUGGAUAGCCAAAGGUGUAAAAACCUUAGAGUGGGGUGUUGGAUGUGGGCAUUUCUAGGAUAGUAUUUUCUAGUGUGAACUUGCCCCGUGAUUUCUUCCCAAAACUUAUCCUUAUUAAACCCUUUUAUGGCAUGCACUAAAUCAAGAGAGCAUCUUUGACGAAAACCAAGGAAUUUGCUUAAGUCUUUCCAAAAGAUAGCAUAUUCAUUUCCAAAUAAACGAACAAAAAUACCUUCAUAUGUUUCUCUUAAAGUGCAUAGGAAUUGAAUGGUAAGGGUAUAGGAUCCAUACUCAGUUAUGGGGUGAAUGUUGUCCCACCCGGCGGCUUUCCAUAUGGAGAGGAAUUCAGAGUCCAUACCGAUGUCGGAGAGGAGCGAGUCAUUGUAGACCGGCGUAUGGAGGAAGAUCCGGUCCUUGAGAUCCGGUACUACCGGUAGUUCAUUUUCUCGCAAAACUCAGGAGAAAGGGCUGGCAUUGCCGGUACGACCGGCCCUGAGGGUUGGUACUACCGGGUCACCUUGGCAGAGAAGAAAUUUCCUGAGUGCCUAAGAGUGCAAGUGUUAGAGUGUCUCUCUUUUGAUUAGUUUUAAUACUUGAGCACUCUAUCUUCCUCAAACCAACUAAAUUUGCAUCCCUCUUUAUAGUGCGGCAAAUCCUAAACUCAAGGUCAAAAGUAUAUAACCAAUUUAACCACUUGAGUCUUCAAUGUCUUCAUAUGCCACUUCUUCUCAAUAUCACUUCAUCAAGGAUGCAAUUAACUUUGUCUCAUCUUCUUUGAGUAAAUAUAGCUUGAGCAUGUGACUUGAAUCAUUUCAACAUAUGUGAGUUCAAUCCAUGACUUCAAGUCACUUCCAUUAAAGAUUUUGAUCCUCAACACAAUAUGACUCCUCAUAGCUUAAUUAGUACCUCGACUCAAUGCAAGUACUCUCUUCUUCACCUUAGCCAUGGUACCUCGGUCUACAAGCCAUUGCUUGACCUUCACCUUCGCUUAGUCCCUCGAAGCCUUUUCCUUGCUAUCUUCACUCUAUCAAGCCAUACUCAAGUCACAUCAUGUUAAGCAUCCAUUGAAAAAUUGUUUCUUCAAUAUUGUGAUUCUUGCUUGAAUAUCUUCUUGAUAUGAGCGUUAACAUUAAACAAGCUUCAGUUUACACCAACACACAACUUUGGUCUUCAUUUGAACAAUGUGUGAAAUACCAUCAAGUUUGCUUUCUUGUUGACCCUUUGAUACACUUAGCAAACUUGUUAGACCCUUAAUUGUGUUGUCAUUCAAUUCACCAAAACCCACUAAAGGGCUAGAUGCACUUACACUCCUUCUUCCCUUUGACGUAUAAACUGAUCUUGGCAGCACUGGCGUAGAUGAUAGCUCCUGUGGUGUUCAAAAAUGGCCUUCCUAGGAUGAUAGGUGCUCUCUCAUCAUUUCCGGUCUCUACCACUACGAAGUCUGCUGGGGCAUACAAGGUACCAACUCGGACACAAAGGUUCCUCACUAUUCCUUUUGGAAAAGUUAUCGUCUGAUCUGCAAACUGCAAACACAUGGUUGUCUCUAAUAAAGGAUAUGUAAAGAAUUUCUCAUAGAGUACCCUGGGUAUAAUGUUGACGCUAUAGCCAAAGUCAUAGAGUGCUUCUGGAACGUCCACCAUGCCGAUGGAGAUCGGGAUGACGGGGCGUCCUGGAUCGCCUCUCUUGACCGGCAGACGGUCAGUAGAAAAUUCAGUGACGGGGUUACUCCAAUUACCUGCAUGAAACAUGUCUACAAGAUUUGCAGAUUCUAAUCCUUCCGUUUGUGAUGGUAUACCGGGGUUAGUAGUAGGAACAACAGCAGCUAUUUGAUUUAACUGAGAUUCAAUCAUUUUAUUAAAGCUAAUUUGAUUCUUGAUGGCAGUAGAGAAAUUAUCCAUUCUAUUAUUUAUAUUUUCUAGCAUUUUAUCAUUUGAUGCCAAUUUCUUAGAUAGGUUAUCCAUUAGCUUUCCUUGAUUAGACACUAACUCUCUCAAAGGUGGAAAAUUAUUAUUAUUGUUGUAAGAAUUGUUACCUUGAUAAUUACCUGAGUAGUUAGGCCUCUGUUGAUUCCAAUCUUGAUUUUGUUGAGGACGGUUGUAGUUGUUGUUGUUGUUGUUGAUGUAGUUCACAUCCUCAAGCAUCUUAGGGCAGUGGUUGCCUGAGUGUCCAGUGUCUCCACACUCCUCACAAGUCAUGUGAGAGUCGUAGAUGUGCAUAACUUCUUUCUUGUCUCCAGCUCUAUCAUCGAGCUUCUUCAUGAGCAGGUCUCGCUUUGCAGACAGCAUGUCUACCUCCUUGAGCUGAUGUAUACCUCCACCUCUCUUGCGUGUCUGGGUCCUCUCUUCAUUCCAGCUUUGGUUGGACGCCAUCUUCUCCACAAGAGCUGUGGCUUGUGGUAUAGUAAGUGAUAAGAAUGCUCCUCCAGCUGCAGCAUCCAUGGUCUCUCGGGCACUGUUGCUGAGGCCAUGAUAGAAUGUCUGCAUCAGUAGCCAACUCUCCAUUCCAUGAUGGGGACAUUCUAGGAUGUAGUCUUGAAAGCGCUCCCAUGCUUCUGGAACAGAUUCAUCAUUUUGUUGCUGAAAACUUGUAAUCUUCCCACGGAGAGCAUUGGUCUUGCCCAUGGGAAAGAACUUAGCCAGGAAGUUUGUUGAGCAGAGUGCCCACGUAGUAUUCUUCUCCUUUGUAGCGUAGAACCACUGCUUCGCUCUUUCUAAUAGUGAGAAUGGGAACAGGCGAAGUAUUAUAGCGUCUUUGGAAACUCCUGCUAUGCUGAAUGUGUUGCAAAUCUCCAGGAAGUGUUGUAAAUGAGCACUAGCGUCUUCGUGUGCCUUCCCACAGAACUGGUUGGAUUGCACCAUGUUGAUAAGUCCAGGCUUGAGCUCAAAGUUGCCAUCGAUCUCUGCAGCAGGUCCAGUGCGGAUGUUGUCCGUAGUGGGAGUUGAGAACUCGCGGAUUGAUUUGUUCGCCAUGGCUUCGAACUCUGAAGACAAGUUCCGGUGAUCUUCUUGAUUGGAUGAAGCUUCUUCGUGAAGUGUUGAUGAUUUCUUUAGCUUGGCUCUCGUCUUCUUGAAUAAUGCUUCAGGAUUGUCAACAAAAUUUCCUGGAAGAUGUCUUCUAUUCAUACAUUCCCCUGCAUAAGAUAAAAUAGAAAAAUAUCGGGGUAAAACUGUAUGAGAGAAUAGAUAAGCUCAAUCAUAUUAGUGAUGCGAAUGAUAACUCAAAAUCUUUUUAUUCCAUUCAUGAUUAGUAAUCAACCUUCCCCGGCAACGGCGCCAAAAAUGCUUGUUGGGUAUUCUUAACAUCAUUACCAAAAGUAGACUAAGUUCUCUAAAUCUAGUAACGGUGCCAAAAAUGCCAAACCUAUCCCUCACACCACUUAAGCCAAGUUGUCAUCCCCAGCAUGAUAUAAGAGACGCGGUAUUGAAAUAUGCAAUUGCUCUUCUAAAUAAAUAAUGAAUUGGAUCUGCAAGCGCACAGAUUAAUACCGAUGUAGCAUUUUAACCGGGAAGUAUUCCAGGUAUCGUUAUUUAUAUUUUUACCACUGGGAAGGGAUUAGCAAUCAUCACUAUUGAUUACAGAAUAGAAUAUGAGAUUGAGCAUCUAUCAUUGCAUGUAUAAUUGAGAACAUUAUAUCUAACUCUUCAUACAGGGAUAAGUGUCACAUAAAGGAUAUAUGAAAUAAUAAUAGUGACAAAGAUAAUUAAUCUGAUCUAGCCACAUAAUAAAUAUGAUAAGCACCUCAAUUAGAUACUCUAGAAAGUCAUUAGCAUGGUAUUAGAACGAACUACAAGAAUAUUCCCUAAGUUAUUCUCAACUAUAUAGUCUAGCAUAUCAUAGUUAGUGCAAGCAUACUUAGCAAUCAUUGCGAGACAAGACUACGCCCAUGCAUAGUGAUAUUAGCAAGGAAUAUGAGAAACAUAGCAAUCACUCCCCUGUAAUAAUGUUGCUCUGCCAGCCCAAUACACGAGAGGGGGACUAUAUAAGAAUCAAUGAAGCUGUCACUAUCACGAACCACCCCACGAUCUGGCAUAUUGGGUACAAUCGCAGAUAAAUACGGUAUAAGCACCACGCCUACACAAUAUCUAUCAUUUACCCAUGGAUCCGAUGGAUAAACGCUAUACGAUCCUAAGCAUGUAUAUAGAUCCAAUCUAACUAAGCCAAGUACAUAACUAUGAUAAACUAAGAACAAUAUAAUCUUGAAUAUAAGCAAGUAGAGCAAAGUCAUAAGCAAUAUAUUGAAGUAGAACAAAGUCAUAUUCAUAAUAUUGAAGAACAAAGAUAAUUAGAAAGCAAUUAGAAACACAAUUAGAGAAUUACCAAGAAUCCUCUUGACAGAUCCGGAAACCAAUCGAAGAUUGACUCCUUCUAGUUCUAAUCCUAUGUAGCUAUGCUAAUCUAGAUAUCUAAUUGAUGUGGUGGCUCUAAUCUUGAUCAGAGGCUUCUUCUCCCUUGAUGGAACAAUGAAUUAGGGUUGAGAGGCUCUCUCCUCUAGGGGCCAGGGGGUCUGGUUUUAUAGUCCCUUCAAGUGAAUAUGGGCCCUUGGAUCAAACCGACAUAGAUUGUAUGGUUUAGAUUCAUCCUUUAGGUCGGUGGAGAUCUCCCACAAAGCAGAGUCCUGAUUGGACUCAGGAGGUGGGCGGGCGCCCUGACCAACUGGGCGGCCGCCCACGGUCUGGCCCCAUUUCGCCUCCACUUCGGUCUCGUGGCUUCUGGAGUCUUCUAGAUGUAAGAUAAUUGCGCAGCACGUUAAUACCUUUACGUAAUCCUGACAUGUGGGCCUUUCUUCCAUAUUUCCUGAUAACCCCCUGCAGAAAUAGACAAACACCAAAACUCAUGGAAUUCUGUCAGAUAAAACCCUAAGUCUGGAUCUUGAUUUCAUUUGGAUCCUUUUCUUUAUUUAUUUGAUAAUUAAUUUUGAUACUUAAGGACCGUCAACAGCAUCUAUCAUUGCAUGUAUAAUUGAGAACAUUAUAUCUAACUCUUCAUACAGGGAUAAGUGUCACAUAAAGGAUAUAUGAAAUAAUAAUAGUGACAAGGAUAACUAAUCUGAUCUAGCCACAUAAUAAAUAUGAUAAGCACCUCAAUUAGAUACUCUAGAAAGUCAUUAGCAUGGUAUUAGAACGAACUACAAGAAUAUUCCCUAAGUUAUUCUCAACUAUAUAGUCUAGCAUAUCAUAGUUAGUGCAAGCAUACUUAGCAAUCAUUGUGAGACAAGACUACGCCCAUGCAUAGUGAUAUUAGCAAGGAAUAUGAGAAACAUAGCAAUCACUCCCCUGUAAUAAUGUUGCUCUGCUAGCCCAAUACACGAGAGGGGGACUAUAUAAGAAUCAAUGAAGUUGUCACUAUCACGAACCACCCCACGAUCUGGCAUAUUGGGUACAAUCGCAGAUAAAUACGGUAUAAGCACCACGCCUACACAAUAUCUAUCAUUUACCCAUGGAUCCGAUGGAUAAACGCUAUACGAUCCUAAGCAUGUAUAUAGAUCCAAUCUAACUAAGCUAAGUACAUAACUAUGAUAAACUAAGAACAAUAUAAUCUUGAAUAUAAGCAAGUAGAGCAAGGUCAUAAGCAAUAUAUUGAAGUAGAACAAAGUCAUAUUCAUAAUAUUGAAGAACAAAGAUAAUUAGAAAACAAUUAGAAACACAAUUAGAGAAUUACCAAGAAUCCUCUUGACAGAUCCGGAAACCAAUCGAAGAUUGACUCCUUCUAGUUCUAAUCCUAUGUAGCUAUGCUAAUCUAGAUAUCUAAUUGAUGUGGUGGCUCUAAUCUUGAUCAGAGGCUUCUUCUCCCUUGAUGGAACAAUGAAUUAGGGUUGAGAGGCUCUCUCCUCCAGGGGCCAGGGGGUCUGGUUUUAUAGUCCCUUCAAGUGAAUAUGGGCCCUUGGAUCAAACCGACAUAGAUUGUAUGGUUUAGAUUCAUCCUUUAGGUCGGUGGAGACUUCCCGCAAAGCAGAGUCCUGAUUGGACUUGGGAGCAGGGCGGGCGCCCAGUAGGACAGGGCGGGCGCCCUGUCUCUGGCCCUGAUUCGCCUCAGCUUCGGUCUCGUGGCUUCUGGAGUCUUCUAGAUGUAAGAUAAUUGCGCAGCACGUUAAUACCUUUACGUAAUCCUGACAUGUGGGCCUUUCUUCCAUAUUUCCUGAUAACCCCCUGCAGAAAUAGACAAACACCAAAACUCAUGGAAUUCUGUCAGAUAAAACCCUAAGUCUAGAUCUUGAAUUCAUUUGGAUCCUUUUCUUUAUUUAUUUGAUAAUUAAAUUUGAUACUGAAGGACCGUCAACAAACUCCCCCAAGCUUACCUCUUGCUCGUCCCUGAGCAAGGAUAGACUCAGCUAUGGAUCAUAAGUUGUUAAAUAAGAUCUCAUCUCUGAGUUAGAGUAAACUAUCAAGAUUUAAAACUUACUUACUUUACCUACACCAUGGGACUUGUAACCGUCACUUCUGUCUUGAGUGGUUAAAAGAUAGAACAGUCUAGCCAAGUGCCAUGUCUCUUAUUCUUGAUCAGCUAUAACUCUGGGGUUUUUUGCAGAUUUUCAAAUAAAACUCAGAGAUUCCUUGUAUGAUUCUCUCAGGUCUCUCUUUUGUGGUAUUUUUGGAUCCUUACCAAGGCAUUGAUGGUAUAUGCCUUCUCUCAAGAUAUGUAGUAUUUGUGGUAUAAGGCAUAGUGACAUUGCCUUCUCUCUCACCCUACUCUAAUAAGGCUUUAAUAUCUGGAGCUCAUAGGUGGGAGAUAAAGUGCACAUACUUACAAGACAUUUAUUGCAUAGUCAAACCAUGGAUCCAAAGUAACAAGUCAUUAAGCCAAAUCAAGAUGUGCAUGUGUGGCGAAUGAAUGGUGUAUGGUGAUGAUGGUGAUAACAAUGGUGAAAACAAUGGUGGUGGAUGUCUAAUUCUACUUUGCUCUUUGAGGGGAUACAUACCUUCCUUGCUUUUGAAACUUUAUGAGGAGAAUGAGAUGCUCUUCUUUUUCUUGUCUCUCAGGUGGGUAUCUUGCACCCCUAAUUCUACUGUCGGACACUUGUCCAUUUUUACCUCUCGUCUCACUCUUUCUUUUCUUUCGAGGUUCCGAGCACUUGCUCCUUUUUAUUUCCUCGUAUAUUUUUUUAUUUUCUUCUUUUUUCUAGAGCACUCAUCUCUUGAGAUAAUAUAGCAAGUGAUAGUAACAAGAUAACUUGAGCAUUUAUUUCACAAGGGGAAACAGAAAUAUUUUUGGUUAUUCUCUCCUGGAUUAGGAGCAGAAUAUUUUUGGGUGAUUCUGGAGAUGGAAAUGGUUGGAUAUAUGUGGAUGGUACUUCCGGAGUAGAAGUAGCAUAUAUGAGUGAACGUGCAGGUGAAAUCUUGAUUUAACCACAUGACAAGCUCCUAAGGGUCUACACAGCUUGACCACACUCAAUGCUCAUAAGCAGUAAAUAAUAAAUGUGUGGCUCAAAGUCUAGCAAGCAUGUAUAUAUGGCUGUGGUAGGAAUUUAAGCUCUCAUCAUACAGGAACUCAUCAUGCAACAU
rnacentral:lncRNA from 1 species